CCUACGGGAGGCAGCAGUGGGGAAUAUUGCACAAUGGGGGAAACCCUGAUGCAGCGACGCCGCGUGAAGGAAGAAGUAUUUCGGUAUGUAAACUUCUAUCAGCAGGGAAGAAAAUGACGGUACCUGACUAAGAAGCCCCGGCUAACUACGUGCCAGCAGCCGCGGUAAUACGUAGGGGGCAAGCGUUAUCCGGAUUUACUGGGUGUAAAGGGAGUGUAGGCGGCGAUGCAAGUCAGAAGUGAAAGCCCGGGGCUCAACUCCGGGACUUCUGUUGAAAAUGUGUUGCUAGAUUGCAGGAGAGGUAAGUGGAAUGCCUAGUGUAGCGGUGAAAUGCGGAGAUAUUAGGAGGAACACCAGUGGCGAAGGCGGCUUACUGGACUGUAACUGACGUUGAGGCUCGAAAGCGUGGGGAGCAAACAGGAUGAGAUACCCUAGUAGUC
rnacentral:rRNA from 1 species